rnacentral:misc_RNA from 1 species
AAUUAAAAAAAAAAAAAGAAUUAGUUUAAAAACUGCAAUAAAUGUUAUAAGUUAACAUGUCAAAUAAGAAAUUCUGUGAACAGUAUCCUUAACCCUGGCAGCAAUUAAAAUAUAUAAUAUCAAUCCUCUUUUAUAACAAAUUCCAAUUACAAGAAUAAAAAAAAUUAAAUAAAUUUAUAUCAUGCAAUACAAGUGUAUACAACAAAGCAUCACAUGUGUUCCAUGGAUCAUGAAACAAUUAUAAUUAGUACCAUCAUUGCUAUUUACGCCAGAAAUAAGCAAUGCCAGUGUUCCUUUCUCUAAAAUGUUAGUAAUCUUUGUGGAAAACCAAAUAAGUAGAGAGUAUUUAUAUCAAAGAAUCAAGUGACAAGUGAAAGUUAUAGAAGUACACAUUGCUUGAAACAACAGUGUGACUAUUGAUAUCUUUAAUUUCAGAAAAGUCAUGGUGAUUCUAUAAUUCUUAUCACUAUCACAGGAAGGAAUUUAGUUAGAAUAAUCUUACCAAGACACACGGAGUAUUAAAACUCACAAUCAUCAAGACAAAUCCGUCUUCACUAAUUUAAAAUGUAAAAGACAAUCAAGGCAUAUAAAAAAAAUAAAGUUAAUGAAUGACACAGAACAAAGUUGCUCUUAGCUAGCCUUAAAACCAACAUUCCAGGGACUCCCACCAAAGUCAAAUAAAGUUAAAAGUCACAACAACAAUCAUGCAAGAUAAUUACCUGAUAAGCAAGUUUAG